UUAAAUAUGAUUAAAUAAUAAAUCAGUUGUCUUCCAGCCUGCAGAUGGAAACUGCUCUUUACGUUUUAUUCGCCUUCCUGUCUUUUGGGUUUGUGCACAUUGUAUUUUUCUGGUAGGUCCUUUCUCUCCUGCAACAGUUAACAAAGACUUUUAGGAUAUUUUGCCUAUGCAUGGUUAAUAUGAGGCCAUUUAACUAAAAUAAUCCUUGUCCCAGUGAACAGCCUUUAGGGUGGGAAUCUGGCAGGUGGUGUUGUGCAGUCUUAGCAUUGUGGUUUUUUUUUUAUUUGUUUGUUUGUGUGGUCGACCUACUUGGUCAAAGAUUAAAACAACUGCCAAACACAUUAGCUUUGGAAAAAUCCAGUUUGUGCUGCUCAGACGGAAAAAAAAAAAAAAAGAUUAGAUAAACAGGUAGGUACAUAUGGGGGGAAACAUAUAUAUUUGUCUGCAGUGUGAAUGUAGUUUAGGUUUCUUACCAGAAUUGCAUAAAAAUCCUGCAGUGAAACCAAAACCAUGUGAAUAGAAAUGACGUAUUCAAUGCUUAGUAAUCUGAAAAUCAAAUUAGGUCUUUUUAACAAACGGCAUCUCAAACAUCUGAUAGAAAUCAGUGCUGCUGCUACACGAAUCACACCGAGUUAGUCUGAGCUCUUUGUGUUUGAUAUUUAUUCCAGCUGUAUUACACCCAGCGGAGUCACAUCCAAGUAACUUGCAGUUUAUUAAAAAAAAAAAAAAAAAAAAAUUAUAGGUCUGGUGGUGUUUAUACAGUAAACAGGGGCAGAAAU